rnacentral:rRNA from 1 species
AGUGUGUGUGUUAGUGGAAGCGUCUGGAAAGGCGUGCGAUACAGGGUGACAGCCCCGUACACAAAAAUGCACAUAUUGUGAGCUCGAUGAGUAGGGCGGGACACGUGGUAUCCUGUCUGAAUAUGGGGGGACCAUCCUCCAAGGCUAAAUACUCCUGACUGACCGAUAGUGAACCAGUACCGUGAGGGAAAGGCGAAAAGAACCCCGGCGAGGGGAGUGAAAAAGAACCUGAAACCGUGUACGUACAAGCAGUGGGAGCCUCUUUAUGGGGUGACUGCGUACCUUUUGUAUAAUGGGUCAGCGACUUAUAUUCUGUAGCAAGGUUAACCGAAUAGGGGAGCCGAAGGGAAACCGAGUCUUAACUGGGCGUUAAGUUGCAGGGUAUAGACCCGAAACCCGGUGAUCUAGCCAUGGGCAGGUUGAAGGUUGGGUAACACUAACUGGAGGACCGAACCGACUAAUGUUGAAAAAUUAGCGGAUGACUUGUGGCUGGGGGUGAAAGGCCAAUCAAACCGGGAGAUAGCUGGUUCUCCCCGAAAGCUAUUUAGGUAGCGCCUCGUGAAUUCAUCUCCGGGGGUAGAGCACUGUUUCGGCAAGGGGGUCAUCCCGACUUACCAACCCGAUGCAAACUGCGAAUACCGGAGAAUGUUAUCACGGGAGACACACGGCGGGUGCUAACGUCCGUCGUGAAGAGGGAAACAACCCAGACCGCCAGCUAAGGUCCCAAAGUCAUGGUUAAGUGGGAAACGAUGUGGGAAGGCCCAGACAGCCAGGAUGUUGGCUUAGAAGCAGCCAUCAUUUAAAGAAAGCGUAAUAGCUCACUGGUCGAGUCGGCCUGCGCGGAAGAUGUAACGGGGCUAAACCAUGCACCGAAGCUGCGGCAGCGACACUAUGUGUUGUUGGGUAGGGGAGCGUUCUGUAAGCCUGUGAAGGUGGCCUGUGAGGGUUGCUGGAGGUAUCAGAAGUGCGAAUGCUGACAUAAGUAACGAUAAAGCGGGUGAAAAGCCCGCUCGCCGGAAGACCAAGGGUUCCUGUCCAACGUUAAUCGGGGCAGGGUGAGUCGACCCCUAAGGCGAGGCCGAAAGGCGUAGUCGAUGGGAAACAGGUUAAUAUUCCUGUACUUGGUGUUACUGCGAAGGGGGGACGGAGAAGGCUAUGUUGGCCGGGCGACGGUUGUCCCGGUUUAAGCGUGUAGGCUGGUUUUCCAGGCAAAUCCGGAAAACCAAGGCUGAGGCGUGAUGACGAGGCACUACGGUGCUGAAGCGACAAAUGCCCUGCUUCCAGGAAAAGCCUCUAAGCAUCAGGUAACAUCAAAUCGUACCCCAAACCGACACAGGUGGUCAGGUAGAGAAUACCAAGGCGCUUGAGAGAACUCGGGUGAAGGAACUAGGCAAAAUGGUGCCGUAACUUCGGGAGAAGGCACGCUGAUAUGUAGGUGAAGCGACUUGCUCGUGGAGCUGAAAUCAGUCGAAGAUACCAGCUGGCUGCAACUGUUUAUUAAAAACACAGCACUGUGCAAACACGAAAGUGGACGUAUACGGUGUGACGCCUGCCCGGUGCCGGAAGGUUAAUUGAUGGGGUUAGCGGCAACGCGAAGCUCUUGAUCGAAGCCCCGGUAAACGGCGGCCGUAACUAUAACGGUCCUAAGGUAGCGAAAUUCCUUGUCGGGUAAGUUCCGACCUGCACGAAUGGCGUAAUGAUGGCCAGGCUGUCUCCACCCGAGACUCAGUGAAAUUGAACUCGCUGUGAAGAUGCAGUGUACCCGCGGCAAGACGGAAAGACCCCGUGAACCUUUACUAUAGCUUGACACUGAACAUUGAGCCUUGAUGUGUAGGAUAGGUGGGAGGCUUUGAAGUGUGGACGCCAGUCUGCAUGGAGCCGACCUUGAAAUACCACCCUUUAAUGUUUGAUGUUCUAACGUUGGCCCGUAAUCCGGGUUGCGGACAGUGUCUGGUGGGUAGUUUGACUGGGGCGGUCUCCUCCUAAAGAGUAACGGAGGAGCACGAAGGUUGGCUAAUCCUGGUCGGACAUCAGGAGGUUAGUGCAAUGGCAUAAGCCAGCUUGACUGCGAGCGUGACGGCGCGAGCAGGUGCGAAAGCAGGUCAUAGUGAUCCGGUGGUUCUG